GCCUGGGUGGCUCGGUCGGUUAAGCGUCUGACUUUGGCUCAGGUCAUGACCUUGUGGUUCAUGGGUUCCAGUUCCAUGUCAGGCU
rnacentral:tRNA from 1 species